rnacentral:tRNA from 1 species
GAAAAGAUGACUGAGUGGUUUAUAGUGAAGGUUUGCUAAAUCUUUGUAUAUAUAAUAUAUAUACCAUGGGUUCAAAUCCCAUUCUUUUCA